rnacentral:lncRNA from 1 species
GCCUUCUGCUGUGGCCCCGAUCCCCCGGACCCGAAUCGUCUAAUCUUUUUCUCGGACAUCCAAUGCGGUAAAAGGAACCACAGUCACUGCCCCUCCAUCACCAAAUUACAUUUUUUGGAAGUUUACGGCCAUAAAAAUGGAAAUGCGCGCGAGUCCCAAAUUUUCGUGUGCUAUAGCCCACACCUUUUGCCGUGGCCCCG